AUUUUGCACUCCUAUCAAUACAAGCAGUCUGACUGGGGACUUUAUUCUUAAUAUCAUUAACGUUUUUCCCCUCAUCCCAUGCCACUUACACAUAUGUUUUGAAACAAAGGAAUGGAGGCACAAUUAUUUUCAUCUUUUCUUGCAUUUUCCUUUUCUGUAGCCUGUUUAAAUAAAUGAGCAUGCAGUCAUCACUAUGAGGCUACUCUGUCGAAGUCGGUACGUGUCUGAUUUUGCUUAUUCUAUAGAAAUGCUUUUAGGGUUUUCCCCUUCCUUUAAAGAUGUUAGACUUACAGUGCUGUGCUUCAAGUGCCGUUUAUUGAAUUUCGUACUAGAACGAGUGAGUGUGUGUUAAUGAACCUGUGCUUGUUGAUUCUCUCUCUCUCUACGUGCUCCUCCCUGCAGCUAGCUGUUCAGUGCAUCUGCCACAGCUGGCAGUGGCUGGAGCACCCAACGCGGUGGGUGUUCCUUCACAUGCCUGGCCAGCUUCUGCUCUGCGAAGACCUGUGGCUGUUCUUGCCUCUUCAGUCAAUCAGUACUCCUCCUCUGUACAAGCCUGAGGGUGCAGCCCAGAGUUUUUUACACUGAGACAUGUUAAAGGUACGCAACUAGUGACAAAGCCAAGCAUCCUGAGUCAUUUGAAAUGGUGACCUGUGCUGAUUCCAUCUCCUGUUCUUGCCAUUCAGUCCUUUAUAAAUAAUCUCCUAAUCAGAAUCAACAGUUCUCG
rnacentral:lncRNA from 1 species